rnacentral:rRNA from 1 species
GAUGAACGCUGGCGGCGUGCCUAAUACAUGCAAGUCGAGCGAACGGACGAGAAGCUUGCUUCUCUGAUGUUAGCGGCGGACGGGUGAGUAACACGUGGAUAACCUACCUAUAAGACUGGGAUAACUUCGGGAAACCGGAGCUAAUACCGGAUAAUAUUUUGAACCGCAUGGUUCAAAAGUGAAAGACGGUCUUGCUGUCACUUAUAGAUGGAUCCGCGCUGCGUUAGCUAGUUGGUAAGGUAACGGCUUACCAAGGCAACGAUGCAUAGCCGACCUGUGAGGGGGAUCGGCCACACUGGAACUGAGACGCGGUCCAGGCUCCUACGGGAGGCAGCAGUAGGGAAUCUGCCGCAAUGGGCGAAAGCCUGACGGAGCAACGCCGCGUGAGUGAUGAAGGUCUUCGGAUCGUAAAACUCUGUUAUUAGGGAAAAACAGAUGUGUAAGUAACUGUGCACAUCUUGACGGUACCUAAUCAGAAAGCCACGGCUAACUACGUG